rnacentral:rRNA from 1 species
CCUACGGGUGGCAGCAGUGAGGAAUAUUGGUCAAUGGACGAGAGUCUGAACCAGCCAAGUAGCGUGAAGGAUGACUGCCCUAUGGGUUGUAACUUUCUUUUAUAUGGGAAUAAAACAGGGUAUGCAUACCCUCUUGUAUGUACCAUAUGAAUAAGGAUCGGCUCACUCCGUGCCAGCAGCCGCGGUAAUACGAGGGAUCCGCGGGUUAUCCGGAUUUAUUGGGUUUAAAGGGUGCACAGGGGGUCUGUUAAGUCAGCGGUCAAACCCCGGGGUUAAACCCCGGCCCGCCGUUGAAACUGGCAGUCUCGAGUAGGAGAGAGGUAUGCGGAAUGCGCGGUGUAGCGGUGAAAUGCAUAGAUAUCGCGAAGAACUCCGAUUGCGAAGGCAGCAUGCCGGCUCCACACUGACGCUGAGGCACGAAAGCGUGGGUAGCGAACAGGAUUAGAUACCCCAGUAGUC